UGCCAGCAGUUUUGAGGUAAAUUUAUCUACAUUUUGUUUCAUUAUUUCUAGUUUUUGUAACAUACAUAGAAAGGUGGUCCAUAGACUCAGUUUCCAAAUAUUUUAAGCACUUUUUUUUUUUUUUUUUGCAGUACCGGGGAUUGAACGCAGCAGGACCUUUUGCUUACAAGACAAGCGCAGUGCCACUGAGCUAAAUCCCCAGCCCACGCAUUGUUUUUGAUGAGGCACCAGGAGAGAACCAUUUCAGGACAAGAAAGGGCCAUGAACAGCCUGGUGUUCUUUGACUAUGGAAAGAAAGUGACUACGGAAUCAGCCACUGGAUUGCAAAUGUGUCGUACCCAUGCAGAAGAGGAUUAAUAAAAUAAUUAAUUUUUUAUGUAGUUCAGUUCAAUGUAUUUAUUUGAAAAUAAGAUUAAAUAAUCUUUUGAUGCAGACAGUUUCAUUGGUAUUUAUUCAUUCAUCCAGUGUGAGCAG
rnacentral:lncRNA from 1 species